rnacentral:rRNA from 1 species
GAUGAACGCUGGCGGCGUGCCUAAUACAUGCAAGUCGAGCGAACAGACGAGGAGCUUGCUCCUCUGACGUUAGCGGCGGACGGGUGAGUAACACGUGGAUAACCUACCUAUAAGACUGGGAUAACUUCGGGAAACCGGAGCUAAUACCGGAUAAUAUAUUGAACCGCAUGGUUCAAUAGUGAAAGACGGUUUUGCUGUCACUUAUAGAUGGAUCCGCGCCGCAUUAGCUAGUUGGUAAGGUAACGGCUUACCAAGGCAACGAUGCGUAGCCGACCUGAGAGGGUGAUCGGCAACAUUGGAACUGAGCAACGGUCCAGACUCCAACGGGAGGAAGAAGUAGGGAAUCUUCCGCAAUGGGCGAAAGCCUGACGGAGCAACGCCGCGUGAGUGAUGAAGGUCUUCGGAUCGAAAAACUCUGUUAUCAGGGAAGAACAAAUGUGUAAGUAACUAUGCACGUCUUGACGGUACCUAAUCAGAAAGCCACGGCUAACUACGUG